GACAGAGGUCCCGAGCGUUAGGCGGAAUCACUGGGCUUAAAGCGUGUGUAGGCGGAGUGCUAAGUACCUUGUGAAAUCCCACGGCUCAACCGUGGAACUGCUUGGUAUACUGGUUCUCUUGAGCCACCUAGGGGCAACCGGAACAAACGGUGGAGCGGUGAAAUGCGUAGAUAUCGUUUGGAACGCCAAUGGUGAAAACAGGUAACUGGGAGUGUGCCGACGCUGAGACACGAAAGCCAGGGGAGCGAACGGG
rnacentral:rRNA from 1 species